UACGUAGGGAGCAAGCGUUGUCCGGAAUCAUUGGGCGUAAAGCGCGCGUAGGCGGCCCUGUAAGUCCGUUGUGAAAGUCAAAGGCUCAACCUUUGAAAGCCGAUGGAUACUGCAGGGCUAGAGUUCGGAAGAGGCGAGUGGAAUUCCUGGUGUAGCGGUGGAAUGCGCAGAUAUCAGGAGGAACACCGGUGGCGAAGGCGGUUCUCUGGGCAUUACCUGACGCUGAGGAGCGAAAGUGUGGGGAGCGAACAGG
rnacentral:rRNA from 1 species